AAGCCUCUGCGGUGUUCGUGCAUUGGACGAUCCUUUUGAAGAACCGAUGGAGUACCCGCUGGGAGCCGAUAGCGAUUUCGGAGCUUGCAAGCCCACCCAAUGUAGUGGGAUCCAAAAACCGGAUCUGAGGCGCCCCUGUACGAUUGCGGGUUCUCAAAAGCGUCUGACACGGCACAGGUGGAGGCUUU
rnacentral:other from 1 species